CGAAGAUCAGUAGCCGGACUGAGAGGUUGAACGGCCACAUUGGGACUGAGAUACGGCCCAGACUCCUACGGGAGGCAGCAGUCGGGAAUAUUGCGCAAUGGAGGAAACUCUGACGCAGUGACGCCGCGUAUAGGAAGAAGGUUUUCGGAUUGUAAACUAUUGUCGUGAGGGAAGAAAUUGACAGUACCUCAGGAGGAAGCUCCGGCUAACUAUGUGCCAGCAGCCGCGGUAAUACAUAGGGAGCAAGCGUUAUCCGGAUUUAUUGGGUGUAAAGGGUGCGUAGACGGGAAAUUAAGUUAGUUGUGAAAUCCCUCGGCUUAACUGAGGAACUGCAACUAAAACUGAUUUUCUUGAGUACUGGAGAGGAAAGUGGAAUUCCUAGUGUAGCGGUGAAAUGCGUAGAUAUUAGGAGGAACACCAGUGGCGAAGGCGACUUUCUGGACAGUAACUGACGUUGAGGCACGAAAGUGUGGGGAGCAAACAGGAUUAGAUACCCUGGUAGUCCACACUGUAAACGAUGGAUACUAGGUGUAGGAUGUAUUAAGCAUUCU
rnacentral:rRNA from 1 species